GAUGCCUGAUGAAGUAGAACACUCUAGCCAGUAGUUAAAUAUGUUGUUUGCAUCUGAAAGGACAUGGGACCGAUUCAUUGUUUUCUGCUAAUUGUCAAUCUUGCAAACAAAACACACUUUAACUGAAACCUACUAAAAUCUGGGAACAGAGACUUCCUUGCUUAACUGUGAAGAUAGCUGCCUCUUGUUGCACCAGGCUUGAUGGCUCAGUGGAAAGUAUUGAAAAUUGAUACCUGCAUUGUAUGGUGAAUGGACAGUUAACAAUCCAAUUAGUUUAUGUUUUGUCUAGAACUUUUCAUUGGUCUACUCUUUGUGCUUCUACCACAAAAUGUUCUGAUUGUCAUGGUUUUUCAAUCCAGCAUUUUCCCAGUUUCCUCUGGGGAGCACAGUUUUCCAAACAAGGAAGGACUUCCAUCUCCAUCUCUGUAGGAUUUGAGAAUUUCAAGCGCAUCUAAGCAGACAUGAUAUAAUCCAGACAUGAAGUGCUUCUACCUAUGGUUUUUUCUCCUCCUCCUUCUCCCUUCUGAGGAAACCCGGAUGCUGAGAAGAGUGAAGAAGCUGAUAGAACCCAAAGAUGAACGUCUUAUAUCAAAGAGGACCACAGAUGUAUGGAUUCCACAAUACAUCCCAGCCCAGUUCUGUCCUGGAUCGUGCAAGAAAAAGUGUGCGACAGAUGAAGAGCCAGAACCAAGAGUCUUAUGCCAAGUGUCCUCCGACAUCUACUGCUGUAAAAAAAAAUUGUGAGAGGAAAAGAUCACAAGAUUAUGACUUCUCAAAGCAAAUAGCUGUGCCAUAGAAUUCAAAUAACGGAAAGGAGAAAGAUUUAAAUAGAAGCAAUAGAAAUAUUUCACAUUUAAGUUACUUGAUGGUUGGUUCACCAGUGGAGAGUUCCUUCCAAAUGGAGGAUAUCUCCAGACGUAAUGAAAAACCUCUAAACAGAAAAAAAAGAAGACCUAGUGACCUUUGUAUACAUCUGAGAAAGUUUUAGCUUUGCUUGGAGACAGAUAUGCGUGGAAGGAAAUGAGACCAUUGGAAAAGAACCUUUUGUAUGAACACUGGGAUUAAAGUCAUUAAUAGCUUGUA